rnacentral:antisense_RNA from 1 species
UGUGGGAGCGGGCUUGCUCGCGAAGGCGUCGUGCCAUUCAGCAUUAAUGUCGACUGAGACGACGCCUUCGCGAGCAAGCCCGCUCCCACA